CCCUUAGAUGUUCUGAACCGCACGCGUGUUACACUGAUGCAUUCAACGAGCUUUACCUUGGCCGAGAGGCCUGGGAAAUCUUUUUAGCACGCAUCGUGAUAGGGAUUGAUUAUUGCAAUUAUUAAUCAUGAACGAGGAAUUCCUAGUAAACGCAUUUCAUCAAAAUGCAUUGAUUACGUCCCUGCCCUUUGUACACACCGCCCGUCGCACCUACCGAUUGAGUGGUCCGGUGAAGUCUCGAGAUUGUGGCAAUCUCCUUUAUUGGAGUUUGACUGCGAGAACUUGCCUAAACCUUAUCACUUAGAGGAAGGUGAAGUCGUAACA
rnacentral:rRNA from 1 species